rnacentral:lncRNA from 1 species
UGGGAGAUCCUUAUAGGAUUUGGAUUCUCCUCUCCUAACAAACUCUUUGCAAAUCUACCAAGACUCAACUAAGGUAACUUGAUAAUGAUUGAUGACGUCGGUGGCGGUGGCCAUGGCGCCUCCCUCCUUCUCUAGGCGUGCGCCCAACCUAGGGCAGGUUGCAAGGCCCAGCUGGCUCGGUGGCAGCGCCCCCUCCUAAGGCCCUACUGUCCCGUUCUCUUCACCGAUGAGUACGGCCCGUGUUGGGCGUGUGACACUAACCAUACUACAAAAACCAACUAAACUGAUUUUGAAAAAUAUUAGAAAUAUUUGUAUCUCCAAAUAAGUUUAUCACUGCUACAUAAAUACUUUUUUCAGGUGGUGAAUUUUGAUUUCCAGAGGCAGUCAUGCCCCGCAUGUGAAAAUCAAAUAAAAAAUCAGACCCACUAAUGAGCCCACUACUAGGCCCACCGCCGAGCUCGCUCGCACGCACUAGUCGCCUAGAUCCGCUGACGGGGCACAGACACCUGCACCCGCCAUUGGGGGGACUAUUGAGCAUCCACCAUCGGGCCUCCUAGAUCCGCCACCGAGGGCAUGGUCCCCCUAGACCCGUAGCUAGGGUGGCCCCUAGAUCAUCCACCGGGGGCAUGGCCUCUGGAUCUAGGGCGAGCACUGCCACCCACCUUCGCUCACAAAGGGGGUGGCUCUGGAUCAUUGAUGCUCGACCAUCGGAGCGUGCCACCAUGUGCUGAGAGAGGUGAGGGAGAGAAGAAAGAGACGCGCAUGAGAAGAGAGAGCUAACGGGUGAGGGAUAAAGAGGAUUUGAGGGCUACUGUUUCAUUUGUUUUUAGCAACACUAGAGUUUUAUUUGUUUAUAUAGUGCGACCUGAUUCUAGGCCGAGAUGAGCUUCUAGUGGGGUUAGCUACAUUAAUACAGUCGUAAGUCUAUUUUAGGAGGCAGGUAAUUUUGGACCGCCUCCCUGUUUUAGGAGAUGGGUAGUUUUUGACCACCUUCGUCUCAUAAAAUCAUUUAUGUAGUGUGUAUUAUGAAAAUAGAUUCCACGAUCUAUUUAAUUAUAUUAAUUAUAUAUCAUAAAUAUUAAUAUUUUUAUAUAUUUGGUCAAAGUUGAGUAUAUUUAAUUUCUCAUCCGGAAAGUGAGAGGAAAGUUAAAAAGAGACGGAGGGAGUAUGUACAAAAGUGCAGUUGGGUUGUCAUUAAUCGUGUUAGCUCCAAGAGUUUGGUAUAAUUUACUUGUUAAACUAAUAGAUCUAGCAAGUUAAUAAAAUAAAUAACAACUUUAAAUUUUGGUCUCCUCCAACAGUAAUGUAUAAUAGCUUUUUAAAAUUAAAAAAUUUAUAGUAGGAUCCACAUCUAUUUGUUUUUUUUUGUUUAUUAGAGCCGAUCAUAUCUUUUAUUAGAGGGAUAGAGAGUUCUCUCUAUUUUGCAAACUUAUGAGUUGAGGAGGGAUAUUUGAUAACUAUUUAUUUUUAAGUACCUCUUGUACGAGGAGACUUUUUUCUCUUUUUGCUAAAAAAUCGAGAUAGAGAGUUGUUUUAUCAAACUUCUGAAGAUGCUCUUAGGUCCUGUUCGAGCACUUUGCUAAUGCUAUCUGAAUAGGCAUGACUGCAGGAUCAACGAUUAAUGAUCUCCAGUCCAUCGGAUGCAAAACAAUAUGCUUGACCCAGGAACAAUUGAAUCAAUGCAAGAACGAGGAGGGUCACUCUGGUUGAACGUGGUUCAGAAAUGGAUGUGUGGGUUCAAAGGGCAGAUGGCAGCCCAUUUUAUUGGCAUGUUUUGCGAACUUGAAAUGUUUUUUCUUCAUUCUUUUCUUGAAUUUAGGAUCUAUUUGAUGACUAAAACUUCAAAUCACUCUAACUUAAUUUAUGGUCUAAAGUUUUUAUAAGGUUAACUAAUUUUAGACAUGACUUUAGACCAUUUGUUUGAAGCUUAAAGAGCUAAAAUGGCCUAUGAUGUAUUUUUUAGGGGGUUCUUAGGAAAUCUCCCUGCAUGCGAUGUAUUUCUGAACUAAAUGUAUUUUUCCUCACCGUGAUGCAAACAGGACCUUAAUGUGGUCAUACCUUUACAACUUGGAGGUACUAGAAAACAUCAGGGAGUAAACCACAAGAUCACUAAUCUAGUUGACUUAGUGGAUUGAUGACUAACCAAAAUCUUCAAAAAAAAGUCCGCCAUCGGUAGAGGUAGUUCAAGGAACACUGGAGUCACCUUCCUCUUCUCUAGACACAGGACGUCGUUGAGAAAAGCGUGAAGUAGAUACCAAUCUCCUCUGGUCCUCGAUGAGAGAGAGGAACGGCAGAACAGCGGUGGCCUUCUCAUCACUUCAGCACUCUCUUGAUUACUGGAUCUUCGGUUAGAGGAUGCGGUAUGGUUGAAAACCCUCAGAGCGUUAGUUCACCAGGAGUGGAGAUCCUAUUAGUGUUGCGUAAUAAGGGGGCCACAACCUCAUAAUGUUAAGGUGCUCCCGAUUACAGCACAUACGUAAAAGUUACAUACUCCCCUUGACUCGACCAUAGAAACGGUUAGGGUGUUGAUCCAUACAGCCUAUGCGCCUGAUAUCAUUAUUCCAACAGGAGGAAGCAAAAGAAGCCAAGAGGAGCACAAUCUGCACCUCGUCAGUUCAUCACCCUUGCCUAGAUUGAGCGACCCAGCCAGAGGAAACCUCACUAUGAUGCUGCCCACGACUAGCACUGCAUCCAUAUGCACAUUAACAUACAGUGUUACUCAUGAGAUGCCCCUGAACUCGCCGACAAGUAGACAACGUGACUACUUGGAAAGCGAAAGAGACGUUAGAGCUGUCUGCUCACAGAUCGAUCGAGCUGCCUGUGAAAGCAUAGACGACGACGACGACGAAGAAGAAGAAGAAGAGAAGCGCAGCAGCUGGACGCAUCAGUCGUCCAUGGAUGGACUUGGAGGAGCAGUGCCGGAGGAGAGAGAGAGGAGCUGAUGCCUGGACUGAGCAUAUACAGCCGAGAGGAGCAGAGGGAGGAGGCGGCUUUGCAUGGGCCUGUCUGGGAGGAUUUGGGGGCCCGUCCGGCCCGUGAGUGACUCCGCGCGCGCUCGAGAGAGAGAUAGCAUGAGGUGCAGAAGCGGCCAAUGAGGACCCUAUCUGAAUCUCCACCAAUCCACCCUUAUCAGCCCCCUCGCUCGCCUCGCUCGCUAUCAUCAUUUCUCUCUUCCCUCCGCUGCCUUGCCACUUCUCUUUCCUUCCCUUCCUUUCCUCCGCCUCUGCUCUGCUCGACUCCCCCCCCUGCAGCUCUAUCCUCUCGCUCUCUUUCUUUCAAUCCCGAUAAUGGCAGCCUCCAGCAGCACCGCCUAGCUCUACACAACGUACACGUCCGCUGCUCGGUGCUCGUACAACUACACUUUUCGCAGCCUUCAUCAGCGAGGUCGUGCAGCGCACAUACACACACACACACACAGGGUUCUGAGGAGGAGCAGCAGCAGCUGGGCGCCAGCCCACUGGUAAUUUCUUGAGCCCUCAUCCUCUUGUUUCUAUUUCUAUUUGCCGUAUCAUGCGUGCAUGCUCAUGCUCAGCCACGCAUUUUUGCUCUUCUCUGUACUGCUUCUGUGCUAUCUUAUAUGAUGACUGUGAGCACUGAAACAUGGAGCACACUGCUCUGCUGCUGCUGCUGCUGCUGCUUCUCUUCUCUCUCAGCGAAUUGCUUGUUGCAAUCCGUCAUGCUCAUGCCUGCCUGCCAUUCACAAACUCGUGUGUUUCUAAUGAGGAGCAACUGUGUGUUUUCCUAGAACGUUAAUUUCAGUACCACUGUUGUUGCAUACUAGCUCCUGCUUGUGUGACAAGUGAGACCGGUGAAUUAUGAGCACCUCUGCUAGCGAUGCCUAGCUUAAUUACUGGGUGUAAAAUUAUUACGAGGAGGCACAACCCCAACCCCAACCCGUCCCUGUUCUGUUCGUCGCAAUAUCUGUUUCUGCUCAGCAGUGGCUAUCUCUUGGUCUGAAAUUUGGUGCCAGAAAAGCAAAGGCAAACAGAGCUAGCUUCCCUUGGUCCACAGGCUGUGCUGCUCCAUGAAAACCUUAUCCCUUCAUUUUUCUAGUUGUUGGCCUUGCCAGAACUAAUUAACUUUCUGAAUUACUCCUUCCAGCUCCAGUUUACAUUCAUAUAUACUUUUGUGCAGCACAAGCUAAGUCAGUCAGGUGAUGGUAGGGACCGGGGUCAGAGUUCAGAAACUGUUGCUUACUCUUCCUUUUUUUUCAUACACCAUGACCAUCUGUAUUUUUUCUGGUCAGUAUUCGUGGCGUGGUCCGGGCAGAUACAUGUACACACGACUAGCGUUUCUCUGUCACGGCUAACUUUUACCAUGAACAUAUGGGCAUGCCCACAUGUCAAGGACAGCUCCCUAAUUUGUCCUCACCGUGCUUUUUCCGGCACUAGUCCCUGUAACCAUUUCUCCUAGCUACAAAACAUGUGCCACACGCAUGUUUCUUCUGAAUAGCCGUGUGAAAACAUGCAUACUACCAUGAACAUAUGGGAUCAUGGCAUGUUACAUGCAUGCAUGUAUAUUAGUUAGUACUAGCACCGGGUUUUGCUAACAAUCGUAUCAUCAUCACAACAUUAUUAUUAGGCCAUCAUAUGGUACUAUAAUAACUAGGAGUAGGAUACAAAGAGGGAAGGAAAGCGAGUGCCUUUACUUUUCGGUUGUUUGGCGGCCAUGAUGGUUGCAUGCAAAUGAGCAUGCGAUUAAAGAUUGUAUUUCAAAUCCACUCUUCUUGAAAUACUAAUAAGAUAGAAAGGCGGUGUGCCGUUCCAUAUUUUUUCUCAGCAGUUGACUGAAGAUAGAAAGGUUGGAAGCGUAUUAAAUAAUUAAUCAAGGUGUAUCUAGUGAAAGUGAUCAAUCAGAUCUUGCUGCAUGCUCCAUGCACUAGUAACUAGUAUUACUCUUGUUUAAUUAAAUCCAAUCCAAGUGCUUGACGGCCAUUCUAUAUCUAACUGUUUGUGUGGCAAACCUUCAGUUCAGAUCGAGCAUGCCAUUUAAUCAUGUUUUGGCUUUGCUGCUGUUUGUGCAGUUGGGCUGCUUGAGUUGAUCAGCUUGCUCGCUCGCCAUUGGGCGCGUGCAUGGCGCCCAAGAGCAAGCGCGGGAAGGGCAAGGGAGAGAAGAAGAAGAAAGAUGAGAAAGGUGAGUGCCUUUGAUCAUCUUCACUAUAGCCUUAGUUUCCUAAUUGUUUCAUUUCCAGCUUAUCAAUUUAAUUUAAUCUUGUGAUUGUUAUAGUUCUCCCUAUCGCCAUUGACAUCAGUGUGAACCUGCCGGACCAGUCUCAUGUCAUUCUGAAGGUUUGCUUUCUGAGUCCUUGUCACACCAUCAUUCAAGUUGUUCAAUCUCUUCAUUGCAUGCAGUUUUCUGUCCCCUGAAAUAUACAGUGAGAAUAGAGUUCUCAUUCAUUGUAUUACAUACGUACACACACGAACAAAGGCAACCAAACUAUGUUUUCUACUUGCAAAUAACAUAUUGAAACUGCAAGUCAUAUACUUUUACACUAUAUAACCAGUUUGCUCGUAUUCAUAGCAUAGCCUUGCUCCAUAUUUGCCUGCUUUUUUUGUUCAGGGGAUUUCAACGGACAGGAUCAUCGAUGUGAGGCGGCUGCUCUGCGUCAACACCGCCACGUGUGCCAUCACAAACUACUCUCUCACACAUGAGGUAAAUGCCAAGUACAGGUGGUUUUGGGGCAGCAGGCAGCAGCCAAAGUCAAUUUGGGUUGGUGGAGCUAGGAAAAAAUGAGAAAAAAUUUACAAGAAAUAGAGCACACUGUUUUUGUUAACCUACGUGGCGUUACUAUCUGCAUCAUGUUCAUAUAUGCUCCCUCUGUUUUAAAUUAUAAGAUAUUUGAUUUUUUAUCUCAAAUUUAACCACGCGUCUUAUUCAAAAAAUUGUGCAAAUAUACCUUAAUUUAAGUCAUUCUUGAAGAACUUUUAUUAAUAAACCGAGUUACCACAAAAGAAGUGAUAUUUUACACAAAAAUUUCAAUAAGACGAAUGGUUAAAUUUGGUGCUAAAAACGCUAAACGUCUUAUAAUUUGGGAUGGAUUGAGCAUAAUAUUCAAUGUUCAUAUGAGUAAGAGUGAAAUGGUAGCUGAGUACAUUAUCUUUGCUUUCAGUUAUUUGUGUAUUUCUGGUAUUUCCAAAAUGUAUACAGUGAUUAUUAUUUAUCUUUUUUUUUGCUUCCAUGUAGAUGCGUGAUGGUGCCUUGAAGGAUGCCGCUGACAUUGCUACACUGAAACCCUGCACGCUGACGUUGGUAGAAGGUAUAAAAACCAAGAUGCCCUCCAUUCUACUGGAUUAGUCUAAAAAUCAAUUAUUAUUUAUCAAGAAAUCAGAUGAUUAAAAGUUUGACUAAAUUUAUUUAAAAAUACUAUAAUUUAUAAUAUCAAAUUGGUACCAUUGGAUCAAUUAUAUAAUAUAUUUUAUAAUAAACUUAUUGUUUUCACGAGCGAGGUUUUAAACCUCUUUUCUCGCUAAGAAGAAAUAUAGUAAAUUUUUUAAGUUAUAAAUGUGGAUUUUUUUAUAAAUUGGCAAAUUUAAGAUAGUUUAACUUUGAUCAUAUCAAGAAGUAAAUUUUAUAAAAUGUGUGUCCAAGUUAUUUAAAAAAAAUAUACUUUUAAGAAGUUAUAUCACAAAACAACAUUUCAUGUUUUGUAUUAUCAUAAAAGUACAUGUGCAUUAUCAUAAAAGUACAUGUAUAAGGAGUUGCAUAUUAGGAAUACAUAUUGAAUUUGCGCUACUAUCACAAAUCUACAAAUGUAUACAAUGUAUGUAUCCAAUGUAUUACAAAACUACAGGUUCUACUCAUCUAAAGUUCUUUAAAAGUAUAAACAUAACCUUUUUUGUGCUAAAAUUACAUUCUUCGAUAGACACGGAGACUUUUAUUUGAACAAACAAAACAAAAUCUAGAGUUAAAUGCUGCCAUUUUUCUGCUUUCAUUUCUUGAACUACUCGUACUAAAAUAAAUAAAAAGUUUGAAACUAUAAGAAGUUUUAACUACUGGAAAUGCCAAACACUAAAAAGAAUUUAAAUAUAUAUUUUUAGAAAGUUUGAGUAGGUCCUUGUUUUUUCCAUGAUGAAAUGUUUAAAAAAUAGCCAAAAAAAAACCUUGUCCGAAAACUAGAAUAAAUCUUUCUAAGGCUAACUAACUUUUCUAGAUCUAUAACUUUUGCUAUACAACUAGAUAUAUGAUAUAUCAAAUUAUAUAAUAAUUUCAAUUUCUCAAAAUACCCUUUCAUCAAAAGGAUUUCUCAAAAUAAUAAUAAUAAUAAUAAUAAUAAUAAUAAUAAUAAUAAUAAUAAUAAUAAUAAAUAAUAAUAAUAAUAAUAAUAAUAAUAAUAAUAAUAUUUAAUAAUUUUGAAAAUGCAGAGGAGUACAGCGAGGAGAGCGCGGUCGAGCACGUCAGGCGUCUGCUGGACAUCGUCGCCUGCACCACCUCCUUCGGCCCCGCGCCGCCACCUCCGCCGCCGCCGUCUCCCAAGGACGCCGAUGCCGCCAAGGAGUCCUCCAGCUCCAGCGCCACCUCCAAGGCCGCCGCAUCCGCCUCCUCGGGCGGGCGCCGAACGGCCUCGCCGCCGCCGUCCUCGCCGUCCUCCGCUGCCGCGAAGGAGUCGUCAGCCGCAAAGGAGGCAGCAGCCAAGGAGUCCGCGGCUGCGGCAGAGCUGGAGGCCGAGAUGAGCGGCGCGUGCCCCCGCCUCGGCGCCUUCUACGAGUUCUUCUCACUCGCCAACCUCACGCCGCCACUCCAAUGUAAGUGGCAGCCUCUCUUUAUCUGCAGUCCGAAGCACACAUGGGUUAUUGGAGUUAUUGAGUUAAGACGUCUAGCACCCACGACUUGUUGCAUUUACGUAAAAUUCUUGAUUAAUUUCAGUUGUAAGGCGAGUGUUGCAGCCUCGACAGGAGGAGCAGCCUUCGGAUGACCAUCUGUUCUUUCUUGAGGUAAAAUGGCUAAUAAGUUGCAUCUUCUUUUGGCUCAUCUGUGCUAGAAUGCCUUUUUUUUUGUUUUGUUAUGUGGUUGGUGGUCUUAAUUAGAGAAUUAUCUGGUGCUUUUCAGGCAAAGCUUUGUAGUGGGAAAUUCAUUGUUAUUGAAGCUCGACGAAAGGGAUUCUUCAGUUUAGGAAAGCAGCGAGUCUUGUGUCAUAACCUGGUCGAUCUUCUGCGGCAUCUUAGUAGACCAUUUGAUAAUGUUAGUCUAUCUCCCUGAACUUCUGGAUUUUUUCAUUAUUGGCUAAUAGUACCCUGAAUGCCGAAGAUAUUUGACCUUGUUAUUUAGUGCCCACCUUGGAAUUAUUACUAUUUUCUGCCAUUAACCAUAGAAAAACUGAUUCAUAAUCCAAGGAGGAUUUCAGGAUCUCCUUCACUAUGAUUAAAAUGACUGAUAUCUGUGUGUGAAUAUUGUGUCUUUCUCAGUAUCGAAAUAUACUGAACUGGCAUAAUUUAAGGUUUAUCAUGAUAAAACCUUUUGUGGGUUUGCAAAUCAAAAGCAAUUCGUUUAUGCCUGAUGCUGUUUUAAUAGUAAUGUAGACAUACUGUUGCAGAGUAAAUUCUACAUUCGCGCUUCUUUUAUGAUCAUGUGAUGAGAAACAUUGGAAUCACAAAUUGCUAAAGUGCAACAUGAGUCAUCUAAUCACCAGAAAUUAUAAGUUGCAAGAUUUUCCAUCAUGCUUGAUGUUUUAUACUACUGCCAAUAUGUUCCAUGUUGCUAAGUUCUUUCAUUAUGUCUAACUUUAUGUCUAUCCUUUUUUUUUGUUUGGAUAUGUUUUAGGUUUAUGAAGAUCUUAUGAAGGCAUUUUUGGAACGAAACAAGGUUUGUUAUUACCUCAUUCGUUAUUUUUGUUUGUGAUGUGGGAAAUUAUCAGGGGUGGAGCUAGAAAUUAACCCAAGCAUAGGGCUAGUAGUGCCUUCAUCUCUCUAACCAUUGAUUCUCAAAAGUAUUUUGGUUUGACAUUCUAGUUCUAAACCUAGGGCUAGAGCCCUUGGCUGAAGCUGUCACCCCUGAAAAAUAUUCACAUUAGUUCAAUUAGAAUUAUGUUAUAUGAUCAGGCAUGCAUUAGAAUAGUAUAUGGUUGAUUUGAAACAAAACUAGUUAUAUUUAAUGUACUUGUACUUCAUGUAGAAAACAAAAAUUUUGGUUGUGUUCUCUUCUGGGAAUACCUUAUCUACUCGUAUGCUCAUGUACCUUCAUAAACCUGUUUCAACAAUAUUGGUUGCAUAUAGUGCUUUCUGCUUUUGUUGAAGCACCUUGAUUCAGCACUCAUGUAUUGCAAAAUUGUUGAAUCUUCAUGGCUAAGUCCAGUUUUCUGGUACCCAAGUACUCCCUCCUAUCCAAAUUUUAGGUUGUUUUGGAUUUUCUUGACAUGGCUUAUCUCUAUAAAAGCCAAAACGACCAAUAAUUUGGGCUGGAGGGAGUACAUUGACCUAUGCUGCAUCUUUGUUUGAUAAAUCUUUCUCCUAUUCAAUUGUUAUGUCCUUUACCCAGUUGGUGUCUCUCUUACAUUGCAGUUUUUUUUAAUCUUUCUCCUAUUCGAUUGUUAUGUCCUUACCUAGUUGGUGCCGCUCUUACAUUGCAGUUUGGAAAUUUUCCUUAUGGAUUUCGUGCAAAUACAUGGCUUGUUCCUCCAAUUGCUGCCCAGUCACCAUCAACAUUUCCUCCUCUUCCUGCUGAGGAUGAAACAUGGGGAGGCAGUGGAGGUGGUUGGGGAAGGGAUGGAAAGAGCGACAUGGUGCCAUGGGCAGAUGAAUUUCUCUAUCUCACAUCCAUGCCUUGCAAAACUGCUGAGGAGAGGGAACUCCGUGACAGGAGAGCAUUCCUACUUCACAGCCUCUUUGUAGAUGUUGCCAUCUUUCGUGCUAUUGCAGCAGUAAGGCAUGUAAUGGAGAGCACAGAGUUAUCGGCAUCAACCAAGAUAGAUGAAGUUUUGUAUUCUGAGACAGUGGGAAAUUUUAGCAUCACUGUCACAAGAGAUUCUUCAGAUGCAAGCUGCAAGUUGGACACUAAGAUAGAUGGAAACAGAGCCACAGGAAUGGACUCUAAAAAUCUUGCGGAAAGGAACCUUUUGAAAGGAAUAACUGCAGAUGAAAACACAGCUGCCCACGUAAGGGUUCUAAAUUAAGGCUGCCUUGUUCAUAUUCUGCACAAACUAUAGUAAUUGCUUAUUUUUCUCUCUAAUGUUGCAGGAUGUUGACAGUUUGGGCAUUAUCAACCUUAGAUAUUGUGGGUAUGUUGCAGUAGCAAAGGUGGACAACAUCGACAAAACCAAAGUAAACUCUUCUAUCAAGCCUAUGAAUAUCGCAGAUCAACCUGAAGGGGGUGCACAUGCAUUGAACAUUAACAGGUUAAUAACAAGAGUACAACAAUGCUUCUAUGCUAUUCUCUAGAUUUUAUUUGUGCUUCAUCCUAUACUUGCCUUUUGUUGAUGAACUGCUCAUUUCUUUAGUUUGAGGAUGCUCCUUAAUGAAGCCACUUCUACUGGAGAGAAAAAGAUAUCAAACCUUUCACAAAAUCAUAGGCAGGAAGAACUAAUUGCGGCACAAAAUUUUGUUGAGAAAUUAUUGAAGGAAAGUCUUCAGAAGCUUGAGGAAGAGGAAAAUGUAAAACAGCCAUUUAUGAGAUGGGAACUUGGUGCCUGCUGGGUUCAGCAUUUGCAGGAUCAGAAAAAUUCUGAUAAGGAUAAAAAGCAAGGUGGUGAGAAGGAUAAGAAGAAAACAGUGGAGAAAUCUAAAGAACCAAAGAUUGAAGGGCUAGGGAAGCCUCUCAAAGCUCUUAAGAAUGCGAAAAAUGUUAAUUCUGCUGACCUGGGUUCCUCAUUGGGGCCCAAAAGCUCUGCAGAAAGCCAGAAAGACAAGCCAUCAGAUGUUGAAUUGCCUCAAGGAGAGACUAGUGCUUCUGAGAAUGAAAACCUUCUGAAGGAUUUAUUACCAGAAUCUGCUUUUACAAGGUUGAAAGAAUCUGAAACUGGGCUCCACCAGAAGGUGAUGCAUCUCUUUUCAAUACAACUGAAAAGUCAACUUAACUCUAUUUGUAUUGUGUUUAACUGAUGAAUGGUAAAACAGUCUUUGUUGUACAAAUGCUCAGUGUAUUAUAAUUCUCCAUGAAGACUGUAGAGUAACCUUGUUUGUUGUACAGUCACCACCUGAGUUGAUUGAGAUGGCUCUGAAGUACUACGAUGAAGUUGCACUUCCUAAGCUGGUAUGUACCAAUAUCUGAGAUUAUGAGUUUUAUGACAAACCCAGGGGAACAUCUUCUCCUGUGGUCAUGUUUUUAAUGGCAUUAUGACUGAUGGAUUUCCAUGUGUGCAUUUUUUUAACUUUUCGAAUCAGAAGCCUAAUAACUAAUCAAAAAAAUAUUCAGGUUGCUGAUUUUGGUUCUCUGGAACUUUCACCUGUUGAUGGUAGGACUUUGACUGAUUUCAUGCAUACCAGAGGCCUACAGAUGCGCUCUCUAGGACGAGUCGUAAGUUUCAAAUUAUGGUUUACGCUUGAUAGAAUAAAUGCCUUUUCUUUCCAAUUUCUUUGUAAAUGCUGACUAGAUAACUAUCUGUAUAGGUCAAGCUUUCAGAGAAGCUUUCACAUGUUCAGUCCUUAUGUGUGCAUGAGAUGAUAGUGCGUGCUUUCAAGCAUAUCGUCCGCUCUGUGAUUGCUGCUAUUUCAGACAUGCGACAAUUAGCACUAACAAUAGCUGCAGCUUUGAACUUACUGCUUGGUGUUCCUGAAUCUGAUUUCUCUGGAAGUUCUCCUAAUGUGCAUCCCCUAGUAUGGAGAUGGCUGGUGACCUUCUUGAAAAAGAGAUAUGAAUUUGAGCUUACGGAGAAACAUUACCAUGAUGUGAGGAAAUAUGCUGUCCUUAGAGGACUAUGCCAUAAGGUAAAAGUUAUUUUUUUAUUAUAAAAAAAUCAUCCUGAUGUUUGGUGUGCUCUAAUUGAGGAUAAUCAUUGCUUUUAGGUGGGCAUUGAAUUGGCACCCCGAGAUUUCAUUAUGGAUUGCUCUUUCCCAUUCCAUAAGCAGGACAUUAUUAGCCUGGUACCUGUACAUAAGGUAAAGUUUGCAAGAUAGGGUUAUUAUCCUUCUGAAAUUAAUUUGGUUCAUCAUAUCUAAUCAGAUAUAUGGUUUCUGUGAUGAAAUGUACAUCAGUUACGAUCACCGGUAGUUUACAGAUUUUUACAUUUAUCAAUAUUUUGUUAUGCUUAACAGGAAAUGACAUAAAAAUGCAACUAACUUGAUUUUUCCAUGAUAUGCAGCAAGUUGCAUGCUCAUCUGCAGAUGGUAGGCAACUGCUAGAAUCCUCUAAAACUGCCCUUGACAAGGGUAAACUUGAAGAUGCUGUCAAUUAUGGGACCAAGGUAUCUUUCUAAAAUCACGUGUAAAUGUCACAUUUUUUUUUCAAAUAAUAUUCACUGAUUUCUAUUUUUCUCUACGACAAUACAGGCACUUUCCAAGCUCAUAACUGUAUGUGGUCCCUACCACCGAAUGACAGCUGGAGCUUAUAGUCUGCUAGCUGUUGUUUUGUACCAUACUGGUGAUUUUAAUCAGGUAAACUGUGUUGCAACUGUAAAUAAAUCGGAUCAUUUGAUAAAUUGCUAAACAUUUUCAGGCAAUUCUAGGUGGCUACAACUGAACAUGGUUCAAAACAAUGAUUAUAUCUGCUUACACAAUAUGUUGAAAGUAAUCAUAGCACUAAAGACAUGACAUAUGAUACAUUUCUUGAAAAUAAAAUAAAUAUGAUAUCUUUUAUGGAGAAAUUGUGUUAGAUGUGUAUGCUGACUUGGUGAGACAAAGUACCAGAGAGCAUGUGAUGACUAAUCAUUUGAUGAUUUUAAGGCCAAUGUUCCUGUAGAUAAUAAGCUUUGUGACAGUGUUCUGUUCUAGCUUUUGACAUGUUAAAAAAAAUACUGCAGGCUACUAUUUAUCAGCAAAAGGCCCUAGACAUCAACGAGAGGGAACUUGGACUUGACCACCCUGAUACUAUGAAGAGCUAUGGAGACCUUGCUGUGUUCUACUACCGUCUGCAACAUACAGAAUUGGCCCUAAAGUAAAGGCACAUUUAUAGCAUUCUUUCAUUUCCUGUUUCAUGGAUGUCAUCUAUAGGUUCAUAACAAUAGCCUAAAGGACCACGAUAAUCCUUUUAGGUCUUAGCUAAGUUAAUACUUUAUCUCUCACUAUCUUCAAUAUCUAGAUUGGCGUUAGUAUUCUAUCUAGUUUAUUCAUAUCAUGUUAAUGAUAUUUGGCAACAGACGAAAUGAAACAUAUUUGUUAUUUCUGUCAAGCAUGCAUUGAUUUGUUUCUGUUACUCAGUCUAGAUUUUUUGUUCAAAAAAUUGUCACAUCAAAUAUGCAUAUUUGGUUCUCUCUUUGUUGCUAUAUUUUUAUAUUUGAAGUCAAUCGAAUUUUAAGAUGAUAGUUCAUACACGGAUUGUUGGAAAUGGAAAAAACAUGUGAAACUUGAAUAUAUUCAAUAAUGUAAUCAUGAUAUGCAAUACUCGUUGUAAGUGAAGUCGCAGAUGAUGAUUCCUUUACAAAUAUGUUAAUCCACAAACAUCUUCUGUUGUUUUUUUUUUCAUUUUUUAGGGAAGAUUGGAAAGAAUAAAGAGAAGUGUCAUCUUUUUCUUCUACCAUUUUUUUUGUUUAGUUAGGUCAUUGCUUUUUCUUUAUGAUCUUUGUCUAUCAGGUUAUAUCUUAUGUUCUGCUAAAGCCCGAAUAUUUGAAAAUUGAAGGAUUUUUUAAAACAUAAGUGGAUUGUAUGUUUGAUAGUCCUUGUUGAAUGUACAGUUCUGAUGGUUUAAAUUGACUGCAACAGUAUCUGCAAAUAUUAACAAUUGGUGUAAAUUAAAUUAGGUAUGUCAAGCGUGCGCUAUAUCUUCUGCAUCUUACGUGCGGGCCAUCUCAUCCAAAUACAGCUGCUACAUAUAUCAAUGUAGCUAUGAUGGAAGAAGGAUUGGGCAAUGUGCAUGUAGCUCUAAGAUAUUUACACAAAGCUUUAAAAUGCAACCAGAAAUUGCUUGGACCUGAUCAUAUACAGGUAAUAAUUAUAUAUUAUGUAUAUUAGAAUAUGAUGCUUCCUUCUUGCAAGGACAUGCUUAAUAUACUAGGCAUGUAGUUUUUGAUUGAUUCACUAUUUUGUUGAGAGAAUUUUCAGUUGAUCUAUUUUAUGUUAUCUGUAGACUGCUGCCAGCUACCAUGCUAUAGCAAUAGCUCUCUCAUUGAUGGAAGCAUAUUCCUUGAGUGUUCAGCAUGAGCAAACAACCUUGCAAAUCCUUCGUGCAAAGCUUGGACCAGAUGACCUACGAACUCAGGUAUGCUUUUUUUUUCUCGAACACGCAGGAGAGCUGCGUAUCAUUGUUGCAAACUGUAAUUUCCAUUACUUGGGCUGACCCUAGAAGGGCAGCAAUAUGGUCACAUACAUGGGCCUCAUGGGCCUAAUACUUAUACUCCAACACCCCCCCGCAGUCUGGACUACCAGCGCAGCGGAGUUCAAGACUGGACAAGAAGGAAAACACAUAACACACAAUACUGUUGCAAACUGUAAUUUCCAUUACUUGGGCUGACCCUAGAAGGGCAGCAAUAUGGUCACAUACAUGGGCCUCAUGGGCCUAAUACUUAUACUCCAACAAUCAUUAUAUAUUAAGAAGAAAAAAAGAGGUGUAAAACCCCAUAACCCAAAACAAUAACACCACACCACCGCACCUCACUCACCAAAAAAAAAAAACCUUCUGCACUACUUGUAGUCGAAACAGGAGGUAUGCUUUCUUGAAAUAUGAUUGUUGAUAUGCACAAAAAAGUACUUCCUCCAAUUAGAGGUCAUUUUAAAAUGCAUGUAGGUGAAACAACACUUCACUACUUGUAUUAACUUAAUAAUGAAAUUGCUCAAUUAAGAAUAAUGUCACUAUAUAGCCAUCAGAAGUACCUUCAAAACUCUGCACUAAUGGAAUUACUCUCUUAAACGGUCCUCUAUAUUCCACAGGAAUAUAGGUAGAUAACUUGGUUGUCCUUCAAUUAUUCCAAGUUUCCCACUAGAAACGAUGCAAGUUCAUGAGAGUGGUAGAGUCAUUUAUAGCUAACCACAAACAGAAGAAAAAUAGGAAGCUCAAUAAAAUUGUACCACUAAUUAUAUAUGGGGGUGCUUCAAAUGUCUAACCAAAAGGCAACUGAGAUGAGUUGCAUAUUACUAUACAGAUUUAUAGUCCUUAGUCAAAAUGUACAUUACAGAGCAUUUCAUUGUCCAAGAUAAUACCUUUUUUUUUUAAGAACGUGCUAUUUCCUUUAUUUUGUGAAGAAAACAUUCCCUCCUUUGUGUUGUGACAUAUAAAACAAAAAGGUUGACCACCUAGGAGGAACUAGGUGGCUUUAUAUUAAGGAGAAAUAGGCACCCAGAUUUGCCUAGAGGACUCGUGGGGCAUUCAUAACCUUUUAGCCUUUUUCUGAAUGCAGGAUGCUGCUGCUUGGCUUGAAUACUUUGAGUCAAAAGUAAUUGAGCAACAAGAGGCUGCACGGAAUGGAACUCGGAAACCUGACGCAUCAAUAGCUAGUAAAGGACACCUAAGGUGAGACCUUAACUGGAUACUUCUCACCGAAGCAUAUAAUAAAUCCUUGGAUAAACUUCUGUUCUGCACUAGGCUAGUACACAAGAAACUUGUUCACUGCUAUUCUGAUGCCCCAUUUUAGAUAGAUAUUCAGAUAUUAUAUUGACUUUUACUUUGGUCCAGUGUAUCUGAUCUUCUCGAUUACAUAAAUCCUGACCAAGAGAGCAAGGGAAGAGACUCUGAAUCUGGAAAAAGGAGAUACUCAAGCAUAAAGGUUGGUUACCUAUAUUUCUUUCUGCCUUCAUUUAUUUUUUGUCUAAGAAUGUAUUCACCCAUACUCAUUCUGCCAGGUUUUAUCCCAUUCAAACGAAAGUUCAAAUGGAGCAAGCCCUGAGAUAUCUCCAAGAGAUUCAAAUCCCAUUAUAGAUGAGGAACAGCAAGUUAAAGAGCCAUCAAAAGAUGACAGUACGGAAAUUAUUUCUGAAGCUGAGGUUAAACAGACUCCUGAAUCAUUUGAGCAUCCAGCACCUUCUGAGCUACAACUAGAGAUAGCUGAAGUGAACAUUAAUGCACCUAAGGAAGCUAUUGAAGUUGAAAAUUCAGAACCUGAAGAUGGUUGGCAGCCUGUUCAAAGACCUAAAUCAGCUGGGGGUCCAGGUAAACAGAUGAAGCAUUAUCGUCCAACCACCAGAAAGGUGUAUGAACCUGAUAGUCAUGAUCCAACAUAUACUUCACAAUACAAGGCAAGGAAUUCCUAUUCAAAUAACCGGUAUUAUUUCUUAAGGAAGAGAACAGUUGUUCCUACAACGUACACAGAUCCUCAACAGCAUGUGAAAGUUCAGACAUCUGGUGCCAGGUUUGGUCGCAAGAUUUACAAGGCUGUGACCUAUCGGGUUAAGCCAGGGACUGCAACCACAGAGGUGCUAGAUACUUUUAAGAGUAAAGAGCAGAUGAGUGGUAAAGCAGAAUCGCAGGUAAUGUACUCACAAGCACAAAAUCCUACCUCAACAGAUCACAAAGAAAGCGAGUCACAUGGAACUUUAGUUGCAAGUAGUGGAAAUGCUCCAUCAUACAAAGAUGUUGCCUUAGCACGCCCUGGAACAAUUGCCAAGACCCAAAUACAGAAACCUAGAGAUGAUGUACCUCAGAACCAACCAUCACUUGGUCAGAUUAUUGCACAAGAAAUGAAAGAUUCUUUGGUUGAUUCACUCCAAGUGGAACAAGGACCUGUCUCUGCAAAUAUCAAUAAUUCCGAAGAAGAAAUCAAUGUGCUAGGAGAAGUCCAGAAAUUAGAAGAAACAAAAUUCUCUGAAGGAGAACUGGAGAUUGAGAAUCUGGGCAAAGACAGGUUACAAGAUUUGCCAAUACCAAAGGCUGAGGAAUCUGGCAUUGGAAGUGAGCCUGUAAAUAGUAAAAAAGAUGCCAAUGUGUUAAGUAACACAAGUCAAGAACUAUCAAGUGGUAGCAAUGAUGGUGCAGCCAUUGAGUUUUCUGAGUCCACUGGAUCUGUAAAAACUGAACAGACUGAGAAGUCUGAUACGGAAUUUUUUGAAGCUCUACCCCACAGUAUAGAAAAUAUUACAGUUUCAGCAUCUACGACAAACACAGGGAGUCUUGGAGGUGAUGGAAGUGAGAAGUCCAAGCCUAACUUAGUGCUAAGUAAUAUUGAUUUGAGAGAGAUGCCUAAUAAGAAGCUAUCUGCUUCUGCACCACCUUUCAAUCCAUCUCCACCAUCUGUACUUAGCCCCCUUUCUGGCAAUGUUGGUCUCCCGCCACCAGGUGCCAUUCCAGGAGUAGCGCCUUGGCCUGUGAAUGUCUCCCUGCAUCCUGGGCAUUCAACUAUGGUGCCAAGUGGUCCUCCUUUGUGCACUUCCCCUCAUCAUUUGUACCCUCCUGCUCCCCGAUCUCCUAAUCUCAUGCAUCCUGUGCCGUUUCUUUAUCCACCAUAUAGUCAACCACAGGUGGUUCCAAGCACCACAUUUCCCAUGAACACUAAUAUUUUUCGGCCUAACCAUUAUGGAUGGCAACCUUAUAUGGGCCCAGCGCCAUCAGAAUUUGUGCCAAUGUCAUCAUGGUCAAGUAGCCAUACAGUUGACUUCAUUCCCACGCCACAUGUUGUUGACCCUAUUUCUCAAUCUUUAGCAGAUAAACAUAUUCAAUCUGAUGCAGCUGUUGUUAGUAUAGGCCCUUCACUGGACAGUAAUGCUGUAGUGGCCAAGGAAGAGAUGGAGACUCCUGCAGUGGUAGCAAGUGGCAAUUUGAUAAGCAACAAACAUGAUGAUCAAGAUAAACAAUUAAAGGAUGCCAUUAGAAUUGAACUGAGUCCUGACAUGCAAGAAGACAACAGGCAUGAUGAAGGUAGUUUCAGGAUAUAUGUGAAGGGGAAAAGCCGUCGGAAACAAACUCUGAGAAUCCCAAUAAGUUUGCUUAACAAGACAUAUGGGUCACGCUCAUUUAAGCUUGUCUACAACAAAGUAGUCAGAGAAAAUGACAUCUUCAGGCCUUCGAGUGUGUCCUUUGCUGAAGUUGUUUCAACUGGCAACUAGGCUAUGCAAAUUCUAAAGCAUCUAAUAUUGACAUUAGUACCCAAGAGCAAAUUGUCAUGGAUCUCCAAUUGAAAUGUACUGAAAUGAAGUUUUUAUUUGGAAGGCAGCAUUAUUCUCAUACCAUAUUCCAGGUAAUGAGAAAUUUGGUUCAUAAACUUUCCCUGUCUAUCCAUAAUAUUCCAUUCAUUGAUAUGCUAGUUGUCAAUAUUUUUGCAGAUAUGAAACAAUCACUCGAAACUAUUCAACAAGGAUAAAUGCUUUUUUUUUUCACUUCAAAUACGGUAUGUUAUUUUUGCAACAAUUUCUUUGGUUAUUUCAUGUUUGACUCCUCUGUCUCUAUUUGCUAGAUCAGUUUUUAUUGCAGUUCUAGCUACUUAAAUGUUCUUCCAAUCAGCUUACAUAAAUCUGAGCAUUUGUUAAACAUUCUUCCAAUCAGCAUACAUAAAUAUGAGCAUUGUUUUAGUGCCUUUGGAACUUCUGAAGAGUGAUGUUUAUCAUUGACAGCAUCUAUGUGUACUAGUUUUCAAUGUUUUAUGCUGUCAAAUCAACCAGAAAACCCUUGCAGCAUUGAUCCAUCAGGAUUAUUGGUACAGUAGUUCCAAUUAGCAUGUGAAAUUUGAGGACAUAAUAUGACUUAAUUAACUCUCUAGAAAUGAGAGGGACAGGAUAAAGAUUUAUUUUGUAAAUACAGUCGAAGAACAUCAUUUCAAAUUGUUAUGCUGCAAAGUAACAAGGUCACCUAUUGAAUAUUGUCUCAUUUUCUGGUUCAAUUGUAGAACUGUGAUUCUACCCAUUUUUGUAUAUAGACAGCUUUCUCCUUAAAUUUAGUGUUAGGACUUAGGAGGCACCAUAUGCAGUUCCUUCUUAUUUGACAUUAUUGACUUUUUGCUAUUUUCGUUAGAUAACUUUGACCACUCUUUUUACACUUCAGUACUAAUAAAUUAUAACAAAAUUGACAUUUUUGAAAGCAUUUCAAAGGACAAAUCUAGUCACAUAGUUUAUGUAGCCAAUCUUGAUCAUUUAAACAUAUCACGGGUGACCACUGGUUCUAGAGCAUAAAAACUAAUAGAACCAACAUAGCGUACAGUAAAUCUCCUUUGAUUUAUCUAUAUUAUGCUCCAAGUUUUUUUUUAUGAUUUGUUAUACACUGUUAACCACUCUAUUUACACCACAUUACAGGUGUCGACAAUCCUGUGUAGAGUCCAGAAGACUUGGAAAGAGUUUUGUGAGAGAUCCAGAAAUAAUAGGAGAUGGAAGUAUUACGAAUAAUACUAGACUGUCUAGACAGGCUGAUUUUUCUUCAAUUUUGAUAGAUUAAGAGAAAGGAAUCUUCUUCAAUUUUCGGAGCUCACUUUUGGGUUUUUGAAACCUAGCAUUUAGAUUUUUUUUCCCCCGUUGCGCUGCCGCAUCUAAUAAUUGACUUACCUUUUUGUUCUCGAGAAACUAACAUUAUUCUUUUUUAUAUAACAAUAAUACUGUGUAUUCAGUAAAGCUGCUUGUUUGUGGAUGCCAUUUUCCCCCCACAAAGCAAGAAUCAAUUUGAUACGAUUAUUCCAUAUAUUUUGAAUUUGAAGAUUUAGUGUCAGGUCUGUUGUGAAGUGCAAAAUGCAUGACUACUGCCGUAGAUAUUGUCUUGCAUAUUUUAGAGACUGAUCCAAUGCGACACCCGACAUGUUUCCAUUUGGUUGGCAUUUUGUCGAUUUGGCAACUUUGUAUCUUGUAGAGUGACUGUUUCUAGGCACCAGGCCAGCGACAGGCUUAGCCUAGCGUAUAGGCGUGCCUAACCGUUUCUAACAGUUAAGAGUAAUGACAUGCUAAUAAAAAGGGAAAUUCAGCACAUCAGGAAAAAUUGAUAUUAUAUGCAUUCAUAGGUAAUACAUGAUCGCAAUUUAGUCCAUCACUAUUUGGUCCAUUUCCAUACGUGCAUCUCAGUCUCUAUACAGACAAAAAUGGGCAUUAUAUGCAUUCAUGAUAUAAUAUCAGAGUUUAUCUUUCUCAAUCUCUGAUUUAUUCCAUUUCCACACAUCAAAAGCAUUCUAUGAUGAUUUUUUUUAAAAGGCAUCUCCAUGCGGAGAAAAUCUAGAUAAAACACUAGUAGCUAGAUUAGAUGAGGUGGUGAAAAUCUAGAUAAAACACUAGUAGUUAGAUUAGAUGAAGUGGUGUAGCACCGCUAAAUAGAGUUAGGCACUUCACAGUUAGGCCUUUCAAUUCUUGCAAUACGCUGAGUUGGUGGCAUCACUCAUGAGAGCCACGUGAUAAGAAAAAAAAUACUAAAAGUUGAAGGUUGAUAGGGUGCUUUGAUGUGAGUAGCAGAGUAGAAAGUACCGAUAAAAUUGUUUUUUAUUAUUUGGGCACAGGAGUUGCUCCGCUCCUCUUUUCCCUAGCAUUAGUGAAAGUUGGAAUUGAAAAAGAUCAAGAUGCCAAGAGGAAAGUGAAUUAGGUUUCUCUAAAAACUUAAGCAACCUAUAAGCCUUAAUUCAACCCUUGUGUCUAAGUGUGUUCUAGAGAGCUACCGAAUACAAGUUUUACAACCUAGUUCCAAUCCUAUUCUAGCAUGGCAAUUCUAAGAAUAUAAAGUGCUCAAAGUAAAUGCUAGAAUGUAAAGGAUGAGAGGAAGAGAAACGUGGCGAUGUUUUGCCGAGGUAUCUGAGAGUCGCCACUCUCCACUAGUCCUCGUUGGAGCACCCGUGCAAGGGCCUUGCUCUCUCUUGGUCCGCGCCAGGACCAAGUAUUCUCUAUGGGCUGAUUCUUUGACACUCCGUCGCCGUAAAUCACCCACAACUGCGCACAAGCUAGACACGAGCCACCCACAAGAACUCUGGAUGAUCUUCGUGCCUUCAAUCACCACCGAACCGUCUAGGUGAUGGCGAUCACCAAGAGUAACAAGCAAAGAACUCUCACUUGACCCAAACAAGACAAUAAAAGGAGUGGAUGCACACUUGAACUCUUAGAAGAGAAGGAUCUCUUAAGAAAUCACUCAAUUCUCAAUCCUCUCUAGGCUCUUGAUUCUCUCUUGCACCACAAGGUGUUUCUCAGCUGAACAAACCGGCAAGAGGACUAACUUGGACGAGGUGGAGGAGUAUAAAUACUCCCCAUCAAGUCCAAGGGCCGGCCAAACGAAAUCAACAGAAAUCGUAUGCACCGGACGCCCGAACGCACUUUAUGUUACACCGGACGCUCUCGGUAGAGAGUCCGGUGCAACUCUAACGGCUAGUUGUACUUUGUAAAACUGCUCGCACCGGACGUUCUUCAAUCGUCCGGUGUCCUCACCCGAGACUCGUCCGGUGAGAAACCAGUUUUACAACCUCUCUGGAUAAGGGACCGGACGCACCCCGUAGGGUUCGGUGCGCGCGUCCGGUGCCUAACCCUAGACACUCGGCACGCUGGCUCGACUCCUGCAUACACCGGACGCGCCAACAGUUACAUUGCAGCGUCCGGUGCGCCUUCCCAACUAACACUUCGUCGAAUCGUGAACUUUCCAAAACGAAGUUUGAUUCUCAGGAUCUAAGAACUUUCUUUGAGCUACCUAGUGCUAGAUUUAUCAAGUGUGCACCACACCUAAACCUAAAGCCUUGUCUAGGUCAAGCUACCCGUUCGAUGCCCCCUUAAUAGUAUGGUUAAAGGAAAAACAAAGUCUUAAACUACUCUAAGUGCCCUUUAACUCCAAAUGGCACUUAGACCUAGUCUAGUCUUGACGAUGUUCAACAAUCCUUUGAAAACCAAAAACGAUUUCCACCAUCAAGUAGCCAUGAACUACUUAAUCCAUCGAUCAUCCUUACCACGACCUAACUCAAAUGAUUUUGCCGCUGCAAAACACACGUUAGUCAUAGUAAUCAACAUUGUCAUUAAUCACCGAAACUCACUAGGGGCCUAGAUGCUUUCAGGAAUCACUGGCUAUAGUGGGAGGAGUAGUUUCUAAAUUUUCUCUUUGCUUUGAAAACAUCACUUAAUAAGAAUAUGGUUUUUAAGGAUUACUACGUGUGUACUCCCUUCGUCCCAAAAAGAGUGACGUUUUUUUACUUUCAGACAUCGUAUUUGACCCUAAGUACUCUUGCUGCAUGAAGAGAAACCUGACUAGAAUAGGAUGGGCUAAGGCUGCUGAGGAAAAAGCCUAAGCCAAAUGGGGUAUAUCUACUACUUGGAAGACAAGAUAUCGACUAGAUAACCCUGGAAGUCAAGUAAAUCAUGUUGGUCGUUCCCUAAAAAAAAUCAUGUUUGUCAUCUUUGAUCCAAUAAGAUUAUCUUAUAACAAAUUAGGAAAAAUUGAAGAUUCAUUUGACAUUCCAUUGGUAACCCUACCCCCUCCUGACUAAAUAAGGAGAGGUAGGGGCAACCCAUUUGAUAGAUCUCAUAGCUAGGAAGCCUACAAACUCAUCAACACCAUAAACCCAAGCAUAUAAAGCAUGAUAAACAUUCUCCAAUGAACGCUAGUAUAUUUCAUACUUAAAUCAAUAUAAAUUUAUAUCUCAUAUACUAUUCCUCUGAUUCCCUGCACAAAAAAUGCUCAACUACUCCUUAUUAGAGGAUAAAUGUUACGAUAGUUGGCCCAUCAUCACGUAGGGAAUUUUGUGCAUAAAUUUCUUUAGGUCUCGUUCGGUUUGACUAGAACGGCCCGGAACACGGCACGUUUCACCUGGAAUUGUUGGGCCUGGAACACGGUGCGUUCCACCUGGAAUCGUUGGGCCUGGAUUCGAGUCGAGACCAACCUGGAAUGGCUGUUCGGAUUGGUUCAAACUGGAAUAAAAUCAGACCAUUUCAGGCCUUUCCACCCUCUUGUCAGCUUUGAUUGGAUCAACACCUAGGAACACCUGGAAUUGAUCCAGAACAAGUUUCAGUGAUACACCAGCAUCCACUUAGGCCUCGUUCAUUUAGGCCGGAUUGGUCUGUUUUCUGGGCCCAUUCCCCAUGGAUUGUUUGCGGCCCAUUUUUAUUUAAUCCAGAUAUGAAUAAAAAUAUGUGCUCGUUUUAAUCCAACGUGGAACCAAAACUGUGCUGGAACCAAAACUGACUUCACUUUUCGUUGUGUCUGUGGCCCGAAAUAGAACCGGACCUCCUACCAUCCGGAUUAGCUUCUUGGGCUGGAACGAGUGACAAAUAUGGAUCCACUCAUUUCUGGGCUAGAAAAAAAAUCAGCUUUGGAAUUCAAUUUUGAGCAAAUGAACGAGACCAUAUUUGUCACUAAACCCUAAACCCAAAAAGAGAAACGGGUCCAUUUUUAAAUUGGAACAAAUGAACGAUUUUCAGCAUUAAGAAAGAAGAAGUCCACUUUAGGUCCCUCAACUUUUGCAAAAGUCUGUUUUUCGUCUCUGAACUUCAAAACUGGGUAAAAUACAUCCCUCAAUUUUUCAAACCAUACAUAUUAUGUCCGUUAUGAGCGGUUUUGAAGGCAGUUUUGUCUUUUUCAUUUUUAUUUAUUUUGGCUGAAUAUUUGUAAAAUUAUAGUAAAACACAUAAAAUUCAUAAAAUAGUAAAUUUGAUUUUGUUGGACUUCAAAUAAGUAGAUCUACAUAGUGAACAUAUAAUAUAGUAUGCUUUAGUACAAAAUUUUUAUUGUAGCUUUAGAUUUGUGUUUUUCUGUAAUUAAUUAGAAUAAUUCAUAGCUAUAGUUUGUAUGGUCCAAUUAUGGUGAAUUUUUUAUGUUAGACUAAUUAUUUUAUGUUUAAACUAUGGUAAAAAUUUUAUACUCAUUAGAUCAUGUAUAACUUAGUUAUAGAUUUAUUAUAAUUUAACAAGCAUAAAUCUAAAUAAAUCUAUAACUAAGUAAUACGUGAUUCAAUGAGUAUAAAAUUUUUACUAUAACUCAAAUAUAGAAUAAUUAGCUCACCAUAAAAAUUUCAUCACAAUUGGACCAUAGAAAAUGUAGCUAUAAUUAGUCUAAUGCAUAAAAAAAUUAUACUAGAACAUACUAUAUUAUAUAUUCAAUGUGUAGAUCUACUGAUCUGAAGUCCAACAAAAUUGAGUUUUCUAUUUUAUGAUUUUUAUGUGAUUUACUAUGAUUUUUCAAAAAUUUCAGCCAAAAUAAAUAAAAAGAAAAAGGUAAACCGCUUUCAAAACCAGGUCAAAGAUGUAAUGUGUACGGUUUUAAAAGUUGAGAGAUGUAUUUUGUCCGGUUUUAGAGUUCAGGGAUAAAAAUUAGACUUUCGCGAAAGUUGAGGGACCUAAAGUAGACUUUUUCCCAUGAAGAACUACGACACCUUCAUUGUGGACACCGCGAUUUUUUUGGGCCUUGUUUAGUUCAAAAAAUUUUUGCAAAAUUUUUAGAUUUCUUGUUAUAUCGAAUCUUGCGGCACAUGUAUGAAACAUUAAAUAUAGAUAAAAAAUAACUAAUUACACAGUUUAAUUUAUAUGUAAUUUGCGAGACGAAUCUUUUGAGCCUAGUUAGUUCAUAAUUAGAUAAUAUUUGUUAAAUAUAAACAAAAGUAGUACCGUGUCCAUUUUGUAAAAAAAAUUUUGAACUAAACAAGACCUUGGUUAGCCUGAAGUACAUGGUGGAUCAGCUCGAUCAUGCAGCAGGACCCAUAUACCCACUGAUCGGCCGGUUAGAUUGGGAAUGAAAAUUUUUUGGGUGUCACAUCGGAUGUGUCGGAAGGAUGUCGGAAGGGAUUUUUAGAAACUAAUAAAAAAACAAAUUACAUAGCUCAAAUUUAUUAAGCAUAAUUAAUCUGUCAUUAGCAUAUGUGGGUUACUGUAGCACUUAAGACUAAUCAUGGAGUAACUAGGCUUAAAAGAUUCGUCUCGCGAUUCUCAACUAAACUGUGUAAUUAGUUUAUUUUUUAUUUAUAUUUAAUAUUUCAUGCAUGUGUUUAAAGAUUCGAUGGGAGGGAUGAAAAUUUUUUGGCCGGGAAACUAAACAGGGCCUUACAUAUAAUUCUAGGUUCUAGCCUGGAUAGUGGGCCAGCGGCUUUAUACGGGUGCGCUAUGCCGCCGUGCUCGGGCACGGCCACAAAAGCUGGCUCGGUGUAUAGGGUUAUAGGUUCCCAAAAAAACGAAUAAAAAACAAGCGGUCAUUUACCGAUUUUGACACGUCGACUGACCUAAUGUACGAGUUGGCGAGCAUCCGGGGGGAUCACAGGAGCUUGGACCGUUGGACGGACCUCGAGAGCUGCACACUCGCGAGUACUAGCAUACUCCAGGCCCAGAAACCCCGGUGUGGCGCUCAAACUAGAAGCAUCCGUUGCUGCCGGGAUUGGCCAGCUCUCGUGCGGUGGGCAGCUCACUGCACUGCACUGCGCUGCACGCCUCCGCUUUGCGCGCGCGGGACUCCCCGGGCACACGCCACGUACGUCUCCUCCACCCCGCACCACCUGUGCGCGCGGCCGACGCCGCUUGGCUUUGGGCGCGCUGCGCUGGCGGGUGCGCGCACACGCGUCGCCGCCUCCCGCGCAUGCAAAUUGCAAAGCUAGCCCAAGGCGAUCGAAGACGCUGCCGCUUCAGGCUCACGCUCCCCUGCGUGCGUCGGCAACGGAUAGAUAGAUAAGCUUCGUGGCAGGCUUUGGCCCCCCCUACGUAUCGUCUUUAAAACCAGUCCAGGACCCGCUGCCUCGUCAGUUGUCAAUGCAAGGUUUGUCCACUCGCGCGCCUUCUUGUACUUGGUCUAACGAACUACUGUAGCUAGAAGCUCGAGAGUGCCACUGCAUGCGCAGCAGCUGCCCUCGCUCGCCAUUGCUAGCUGCUGUGUGUUCAAGCUUAAUUACUUAGGUCGAUCUGAUCCAGCCUCUAGCUAGCUAGCAACCUAGAACAGAAGUUAGCUAGCUAGUGUGCACCUUGCUUGUGUAUAGGAGGAAUCAGGAAAGAGAGAAGGAUGGCCGGGGUUGGGAGGAACAUGGUGGCGCCGCUCAUGGUGCUCAACCUCAUCAUGUACAUCAUCGUCAUCGGCUUCGCGAGCUGGAACCUCAACCACUUCAUCAACGGCCAGACCAACUACCCAGGUACACAUACUAGCUAAUUCAUGCUUAGUUUAGUUAUUAGUUCUUCGCAAAGAUUGAUAAUGAUGCAUUGAAUGGCGCAUGCAUGCAUGAAUGACAUGACAUGACAUGCAGGCGUCGCCGGCAACGGCGCGACGUUCUACUUCCUGGUGUUCGCGAU